CGCCGGGACGCCGCGGACGAGGGGCUGCAUGGCCGGGGGGGGCUGUGGGGGCCGCCCCGUCCUCCGCGGGGCACCCCCCGGCGCUGGGUGCCGGCGGCCGUGGCGGCUCCUGCUCCUGGCCUGGCUCAGCCUGGUUGGCACGGCACAGGACCCAGCCCUGGGCACACCAGCAAGGGUCCCC